rnacentral:rRNA from 1 species
UACAGAGGUGGCAAGCGUUGUUCGGAAUUACUGGGCGUAAAGGGCGCGUAGGCGGUCCGCUAAGUUCGGCGUGAAAUCCCCUGGCUCAACUGGGGAACUGCGCUGGAUACUGGUGGACUCGAGUACCGGAGGGGAGAGUGGAAUUCCUGGUGUAGCGGUGAAAUGCGUAGAUAUCGGGAGGAACACCAGUGGCGAAGGCGGCUGCCUGGGCCAGUUCUGACGCUGAGGCGCGAAAGCGUGGGGAGCAAACAGGG